rnacentral:rRNA from 1 species
AUUGAACGCUGGCGGCAGGCCUAACACAUGCGAGUCGAGCGGAUGAAGGGAGCUUGCUCCUGGAUUCAGCGGCGGACGGGUGAGUAAUGCCUAGGAAUCUGCCUGGUAGUGGGGGAUAACGUCCGGAAACGGGCGCUAAUACCGCAUACGUCCUGAGGGAGAAAGUGGGGGAUCUUCGGACCUCCCGCGAUCAGAUGAGCCUAGGUCGGAUUAGCUAGUUGGUGGGGUAAAGGCCUACCAAGGCGACGAUCCGUAACUGGUCUGAGAGGAUGAUCAGUCACACUGGAACUGAGACACGGUCCAGACUCCUACGGGAGGCAGCAGUGGGGAAUAUUGGACAAUGGGCGAAAGCCUGAUCCAGCCAUGCCGCGUGUGUGAAGAAGGUCUUCGGAUUGUAAAGCACUUUAAGUUGGGAGGAAGGGCAGUAAGUUAAUACCUUGCUGUUUUGACGUUACCAACAGAAUAAGCACCGGCUAACUUCGUG